GUAUGGGAUGUCCAAAAACUUUUUUCCACUGCUGUAUUUAACAGCAAUCUGAUCUGCUGAUGUUAGCAAGACAAACAAGUGAAGGUUUCAGGCUUUUAUCUAGAAUUGUUCUUGAGAUAUUCAUCUUCAAACAGCCUCAAAUUUCAAUGUGACAAAAUAAAAACGAGUGAAACUGGGUCUACAGUCCACUGAAAAACCUCUAAGAAAGCAUCUGACAUACUGAGCUAAUAUUUCAUAGAUACCAUUAGAAAUAUCCAUAGUUUAUGAUUUUAAAAAAACAAGUUUUUUGGGAGAUGGUCAAUGAUUUGAAAUGGAGUUCCACUGUUGGAAAAACCUCAAUCUCUGAUUCCAGCAUCAGUGCUCCAUUGUUGCAGUUGUGACGUUGUCUUUCAGAUGGUCCUAACACAGGCCACAACUGCUCUGAAAACAACACUCAUGUUCUUGUUUGGAACAGUUUCUCAGUAGAAAUUACGCAGCAAUGUCCAAGUUGUCAGCGGCUCCAGUAAGGAAGACUCUUAAUGUGAGGAAAAGCAUCCUUUGACUUCUUCCUGGAGGUUUUUCUUGUCAGAAAUUGUCUUCCAGUGAGGGACUUCUGACUCUCUGUUCACUUUUUUUGCCCUCUAAUAUUGUUAAAACACAAGAAUCAAUGUUUUGGUUCAAAUCACAUUGUAUUUGCAUGUAGCUCUGUGUUUUCUGCUCCAGGAAUUGGGUGAUGUGUACGACCCAGCACCCACAGCUGGUUGGGUGUCAUGUGGCUCUGCGUUCUGAUUGGAUGAUUGUCCAACCACUGCCACAAGUAUGAAGGUCAUCCUGCAGGCGUGGAAGGAACACGUAGUGGAAACACAAUAGGGAUGAAUCCCAAACCGCCCCCUACACACUAUCCCUACACACUACCCCUCCGUUUGCGCGUUCCCGCGGAGGGUCCUCCAUAUCAAGGGCUGUCCCAAACCGCGUAGUGCGGAGGAAGAGUGGACUGUUCAGCCCUUAAAUAGCGAGUCUGCAUCGAUGCUCGCUCUGGACAACUUUUUCAGGAAGUGCAACGUCAAAAUGGAGGAGGAAACAACAUAUUGAUAUAAGUUCCACAUGCGUACUUUAUUUCUCUCACGCCUUUUUCACACUGACAGAACAUCACAUAAAGAGUGAUGAAAAAAGAUAAAUCAAAAGAAACAAAUCUUCUUCUCUGCUGACGUUUGAUUUAAUUGUGCACCCCCUGACACCUUAAAAUUUGAACACAACUGACAGAAUUCAUUUAUUCAUUUGUUGGAUUUGAAAUGCCAGAUAAUAGGAUUGGAAAACAUGUGAGUGAAAAAAAGUGGGAUGCUUUCGUCUUCUGGAAGCAGCAGUGAUCCUUGUUAGUUGCAACCUGUGCCACAGCGCUACAGCCAUGCACAGUAGGCGUCUUUGUGUUACCAUGGCGAUGACGUCUUCCGUUUUCCGGUGAGGCGACAGGGCGUCCCAUUCCUGACGAUCGUAUUUAUACCCUCCCCCUUCAAUAAUAGGUGCCCUCCACAGCUGCGAGUGUGACUUCUUUUGGAGUGACACUCGGUAGUGGAGGGGGAGUGUGUAGGGGGCGGUUUGGGAUUCAGCUGAGGUGUGUUCAUGUGGCCAUGCUGAGGAAUCCCUCUGCUUCAAGCUAGUGGAGAACAUCAUAGUAGGUGCUGGUUACUGCCCCCUACAGGUCUCUACGCAGUCCUUAAUCCUGGAGAAUUAGAAAACGACUAAAAAAUAUAUUUUAACUUCAUAUAACAAAAAAAUUAACUUACACUCAACUUCUCACACAACUAAUUAACCCUGUCCUGUGGGUCAAAAUUGACUCGUUUUAAAGUUUGAAAAUGUGGGAAAAAAUAUCUAUUUUCACAGUGAAACUUCUGAUGUCCACGUUCUCAACAUUUUGGGAAAUCUUUAAACAUUUUUAGGUGGAAAGAAAGAAAAGUUAAAAAUGUUUCUAAUGAACAUACACACAAAAAAUCAACCAAAAUCCAGCAAAAUUCACUGGAUUUUGGUUGAUUUUUAUGUGAAUUUUCAUAAAGAAAAUAUUAGAAGUUUUACUGAAAUAUAUGUGAUCACUUUAGAUAUUUUUAGGAUUUUUUUUUUAGAGAUUUUUACUCAUUGUUUGGAAAAUAUUUACAACAAUUUUCUUGUCAAAUUUGGGGGAUUUUUUUUUUUUAAAGAACACUUAAGAAAUUACUGGAAUUUUCUUCCUGAAGGUUUUGAAAAUUUUCAGAAAUUUGGGGAAUUUUUUGAUUUUUUUUUUAGACAAAGAAACAAUGUUUUUUGGUGCCCGUAAAUGAGGACAACAGGAGGGUUAAAACAUUAAAAGGCAACAUUAUUAAGGUUUCUUUUAUCAAACGCUUUUCAUCAACAAGUACACAAAAUAGAUUAAAAAUAUAAUCUAACAUAUAUACUGAUUAAAAACUUUGAAUUUCUUAAUGUUGUUCUUCUGCAUAAGUCACUAUUUCAAACUGGCUCAUGUUACUUCCAUGUGAUCUGCCAUUAAAACGGCCACAUUCUACCAUAAACACUAAAUAAUAACACAUCUGCUCAAAGUUAAAGGCCAACAUACGACCCAAACAUGACAUGGAUUUGGUUUUUUGUUCAAUUUUGAUCAUUUUGCAUCUUAUUGGAUCAUUUUGUGCAUUUCAGCUUGUCUUUAGAAAAAAAAUGUAUCAAUCAGACUGUAAAUGAUCUAUGAACAAACCUCUGUGUAAAACCUUCAGAAUGUUGAAUAGAAUAAAUUUGGACCGUGAUGAAUGUUAGUAAAGAUUUCUGGAUCAAUCGGGUCAUGUUUUUAUCUAAUUCAGGUCAUUUUUUUGUCUCUUUUUGUUGUUUUUGUACCAUCUUGGUCAUUGUGUGUCACAGUUCCGCUCCUCUGUCCUGUCUGUCUGUCAGUCUGGUUGUCUCCCAUCCGCUCCUCUGCCCUGUCUGUCUUGCCUGUCUUACAGUUCCAUUCCUCUGCCCUGUCUGUCUGUCUUGUUGGCUCCCAUUCGCUUCUCUACCCUGUCUCUCCUCCCACAGCUCGGUGCCUGAGUGGAGUCUCGCUUCUCAGCUGACUCCACUCAGGCAAUCAACUACCUCCACGGCUCCCGGACAGCUGACUAUCAUCUCACUAACGACUCACCUCUACAAUAAGUACCGGCUCAGCCUUCCACUCCCUGCCAGAGUGUUGAACCAAAACCACAUACCAGCUGUCCGGGAUCCCCGCUGUCAUCCUUCCCCUCCGGCUCUCCCCCAGCCAGUUAUCACCGGUUCUUCCUUGCCUGGACCCCCACUCCUGCCUGGAACCCCCACUCCUGCCUGGAACCUCACUCCUGCCUGGAACCCCCUGCUCAUGCACUCUGGUUUCUCCAUCCUGGCCAUAAUCCACCCCAUACAAUAAAGCAUUCUAAAUCAUC